rnacentral:lncRNA from 1 species
GGAGGUUCACAACCAUCCGUAACUCCAGUUCCAAAGGACCCAUCACCCUCUUCUUCUGACCUCCACAGACACCAGAUGAUACACUUGUAUGCAGGCAAAACACUCAUACAUUAAAAAAAAUAAAAAAAAGGCAACAACCAUAACAACCAAAACACAGUAAGCUAUGUAAAUGCUAACGUUCACCUGUGAGGCUGCUUGCCCAAGGACGGAUAACUUCCCCUGAUCGCUAGGGGCCAUUGUUCAUGGGAGAUAAUAAGUCGUGUGUUUCUGCUUCAGUAAACCAGAUUGGUUUGCCCCAACUACAUGGGAUGUUCUUGAUCACACAGGAAGUGUGUAGCCUUAUGUGUUUUGACUUUAUAGCACCCGACUGGCCUAAUUCAGACCUAUUCUCUGGGAAUCCCAGCUAUGGACCUGACCACUGUCCAUCUUCCUGUAUUUCAAUAAAGCUUGCAUUAAUUGGACCAUCACAGAUCUGGUCUUUCUCCCCACAAUUUUCAGGUUUAACAGUAACUGAAGAAGCCAGUGCAUAUGCACUACACACACACCCUCAGGCACAUGUGCACACACUCACACAAACAUGAACAUAAACACAAACCAAAGAGCCAGAGAUGCCUCAUUCCCUCGUGGCAAGCAAGAGACCGGUCCCAAGAAAGAUCUGGAACAUCAGAUUGCAAGGAAACACCAUGACCAAAACACCCUAUCCAUGGUCCCCCCGGGAGAACGCCAAACCUUCAAAUGUCACUCCAGUGUUUGUGAUGAGUGCUACCCAGGGAAGCCCUCCUU